UACGUAGGUGGCAAGCGUUAUCCGGAGUUAUUGGGCGUAAAGAGGGAGCAGGCGGCAGCAAAGGUCUGUGGUGAAAGACUGAAGCUUAACUUCAGUAAGCCAUAGAAACCGGGCAGCUAGAGUGCAGGAGAGGAUCGUGGAAUUCCAUGUGUAGCGGUGAAAUGCGUAGAUAUAUGGAGGAACACCAGUGGCGAAGGCGACGAUCUGGCCUGCAACUGACGCUCAGUCCCGAAAGCGUGGGGAGCAAAUAGG
rnacentral:rRNA from 1 species